rnacentral:rRNA from 1 species
AGUUGUACGAGUUCAGACUCGUAGCAGAUAGCUCAGUAACACGUGGCCAAACUACCCUAUGGAUCCGGACAACCUCGGGAAACUGAGGCUAAUCUGGAAUACGACUCUCAUCCUGGAGUGGAUAAAGUUCCAAAUGCUUCGGGCCCCUUAGAAGGGGGUUCCGGCCAAUUAGGUAAACGGGGGGGUACCGGCCCACCGGGCCGUUAUCCGUACCGGUUGGGAAAAGCAGAAGCCCGAAAACGGAUUCUAAAACAGAUACCGGGGCCUUCCGGGGCGCGGCAGCCCCGAACCUUUUACUUCCAGGCCAUGGCAUAAGGGGAAUUCCAAUGGCAAGGGCAUAGGCCCUCGUUUUCAGACCGAAAGGGGCGGUGAAUAGGUGCUGGGCAAGACCGGUGCCAGCCGCCGCGGUAAUACCGGCAGCACGGGUGAUGACCGCUAUAAUUGGGCCUAAAGCGUCCGUAGCUGGCCGCGCAAGUCUAUCGAGAAAUUCGUCGGCCUAACGGGCAGGCGUCCGGUAGAAACUUGUGGCUUGCGACCGGAGACCCGAGGGUACGUCUGGGUAGGAUGAAUCCUGUAAUCCUGGACGACAGCGUUGCGAAGCCUCUGGAAGACGAUCCGACGUAGGACGAAGCUCGGUCCGACGAUAGUACCAUAGUCGCUGCACGAUGUGCUAGUGUACCAGCUACGAGCUGGAUGGCGUAGAGCGUGA